AGGGCACCACCAGGAGUGGAGCCUGCGGCUUAAUUUGACCCAACACGGGAAAACUCACCCGGCCCGGACACUGGAAGGAUUGACAGAUUGAGAGCUCUUUCUUGAUUCAGUGGGUGGUGGUGCAUGGCCGUUCUUAGUUGGUGGAGUGAUUUGUCUGGUUAAUUCCGAUAACGAACGAGACUCUAGCCUACUAAAUAGAUCGUCGGCUUACAAACGCCGACGAGACUUCUUAGAGGGACAGGCGGCGAUUCAGCCGCACGAAACAGAGCAAUAACAGGUCUGUGAUGCCCUUAGAUGUCCGGGGCCGCACGCGCGCUACACUGAAGUGAUCAGCGUGCUUUUUCAACCUACUCUGUCAAGAGUGGGGAACCCAAUGAACCUUCUUCGUGAUUGGGAUAGGGGAUUGUAAUUAUUCCCCUUGAACGAGGAAUUCCCAGUAAGCGCGAGUCAUAAGCUCGCGUUGAUUACGUCCCUGCCCUUUGUACACACCGCCCGUCGCUACUACCGAUUGAAUGUUUU
rnacentral:rRNA from 1 species